UACGGAGGGGGCUAGCGUUGUUCGGAAUUACUGGGCGUAAAGCGCACGUAGGCGGCUUUGUAAGUUAGAGGUGAAAGCCCGGGGCUCAACUCCGGAAUUGCCUUUAAGACUGCAUCGCUAGAAUUGUGGAGAGGUAAGUGGAAUUCCGAGUGUAGAGGUGAAAUUCGUAGAUAUUCGGAAGAAACACCAGUGGCGAAGGCGACUUACUGGACACAUAUUGACGCUGAGGUGCGAAAAGCGUGGGGGAGCAAACAGG
rnacentral:rRNA from 1 species